CUACGUGCCAGCAGCCGCGGUAAUACGGAAGGUCCAGGCGUUAUCCGGAUUUAUUGGGUUUAAAGGGAGCGUAGGCGGAUUAUUAAGUGUGUUGUGAAAUGUAGACGCUCAACGUCUGAAUUGCAGCGCAUACUGGUUUCCUUGAGUACGCACAACGUUGGCGGAAUUCGUCGUGUAGCGGUGAAAUGCUUAGAUAUGACGAAGAACUCCGAUUGCGAAGGCAGCUGACGGGAGCGCAACUGACGCUUAAGCUCGAAGGUGCGGGUAUCGAACAGGAUUAGAUACCCUGGUAGUCCGCACAGUAAACGAUGGAUGCCCGCUGUUGGUACCUGGUAUCAGCGGCUAAGCGAAAGCAUUAAGCAUCCCACCUGGGGAGUACGCCGGCAACGGUGAAACUCAAAGGAAUUGACGGGGGCCCGCACAAGCGGAGGAACAUGUGGUUUAAUUCGAUGAUACGCGAGGAACCUUACCCGGGCU
rnacentral:rRNA from 1 species